CAGCCGAUCUUCUCAUCUCCGCCACCACCAGUACGUAACCAUUUUUGCAGCAAAAGAAAAACCCUUCUCUCUGUCGUGUAUUGGCAUCGCAAAAACGUCGACAAACUGCCGAUUUCACAUAAGAAUUUUUGAAUUGAAAUUUUCACAAAAUUCUCUACACUCCGUUUUUUUCCGAUCUAAAAUCUUAUGGGCACCAACAUAAUAGAUAUUAGCUUCAAUUUUUGUUGGGUGUUAAAGAGUUGAUGAAGGAGUUUCGAAAGGGGAGAUAGUUUAUUCAUAGUACCAUGGGAGUGGUUAUAUAUUGAGAAAAGCAUUUGAUUUGAUCUCUACAGGUAAGGGUGAAUUUCAGCAAUAAAAACAAUUUAUCUACUGUCUAAAUCUUAAGUGAUUUGUUUGGAUGAAUUGUUUAUUCCAUUUUAUUUGCCCAUGGGUACCUCUAAAAAAAGGAAUUGACCAUGCCAUUGGUAGGUUUGAGUUUGUAAUGCAUCUUAGUAUAUUACGUCGGAAUUCUAAUUGUUGGUAUCUGCAGUUUUUGUGUGCUAAUUGGCUCAUUCUCAGGCUCCAAAUGGACUGGAAAAUAUCAUGAUUUAGCAUAUGAAUUUUUGCUCAAGCUUAUGUUUUGUAUGAAGAAGAAUUUGUGGUAAACUCUACAACUUCCUCUUAUUCAUACGUGUCUACAUAGUACCAUAUAAAUUUUUUAUUUGGUUUCACAUAUUAUUUUUGCACUCAUUCGUGAAUUACUUAUUUGCAGGAUUCAAGAGCUUGAAGUGACUUCCAUUUACCCAAUAAUAGG
rnacentral:lncRNA from 1 species